UGCAGGUAAAAUGUGAUUAGCAGCCAGAAGCAGCUUUUACUUUGAAGACCAGGGAAGCCAUUUGGAGAACGUGACACCUGGCUUCACUGUGAAGCUUCCAAAAGGAACCAGCAAGGGAGACUGAGCGCGAUGAGCAAGGCUGGGUUCGUUCUGUGUGUACUGGGAGUCAGCACUGGCUUAGGGGCAGCAUGACUGGAUACUGGACAAACUUCCUGAUGGCUGUCAUUUCAUCCUCACCACAGUCUGCAGAGCUGGGGGAGACAGCGUCGGAUGGCAGAGAUUUACCUUUGGGACAAGUCCAUUAUGCCAAGACUUGGGACUUUGAAGACUGGCUAGUCCCAGCGUCAUGUGGGGACCAGAGAUGAUCAUGAAGUCACCUCCACUCCUCGUCCACCAUCACAGCGUUGUGCUUCUCUCUUUAAACAGGGGGUGGGGGGUGACCACAUCCAUUGACCAUGGGCUGUCAGCUAUUAAAGAAAGAUGAACCCGA